rnacentral:rRNA from 1 species
GGGUUACAAAUACAGGGCAUUGUCUUGUAAUUGGAAUGAUGGUGACGUAAAAUCUCACCAGAGUAACAAUUGGAGGGCAAGUCUGGUGCCAGCAGCCGCGGUAAUUCCAGCUCCAAUAGCGUAUAUUAAACUUGUUGCAGUUAAAAAGCUCGUAGUUGAAUUUCUGCGCUGCCCGACUCGGCUACUUGCCUUGUCUGGUUUCGCUUUUGGGGUUUUCCCCUUUUUACUUUGAGAAAAUUAGAGUGUUUCAAGCAGACUUGUGUCUUGAAUACUUCAGCAUGGAAUAAUAAAGUAGGACUUUGGUUCUAUUUUGUUGGUUUGUGAACCUUAGUAAUGGUUAAUAGGAACGGUUGGGGGCAUUCGUAUUUAAA